rnacentral:misc_RNA from 1 species
AAAACGCGAAACGUGUUGUGAUGUGCAGUCUUUGAGAAUGAUGAGUAUUUGAACGCACCUUGCACCGCAGUGUAGCGAUACACGCGGUAUGCCUGAUUGAGCGGGGGAAGAAAUGAACAGUCGGGAGAGAUGAAAUCGCGAGAUGAAAUCGAUCUCGAUUGUUCGACAUGGGAGGUAGCACUACUACGAAUGGGUGCUUGUCCUGGAAAGCAGCGGAGCAGUGUGAGACAGUCACGUGGCAGCCAGUUCUUGGGAUAAUCCAUCGGGAGCGGCAAACACGUGACACGCGCACUCAUCCAUCCACAACACACUAACAUCCCCCUCAGCCAGGCAAGACCACCCGCUGAACUUAA